rnacentral:rRNA from 1 species
CGGAGGGUGCAAGCGUUAUCCGGAUUUACUGGGUUUAAAGGGAGCGUAGGUGGGUCUGUAAGUCAGUGGUGAAAUCUUCGAGCUUAACUCGGAAACUGCCAUUGAUACUAUAGAUCUUGAAUUAUCUGGAGGUAAGCGGAAUAUGUCAUGUAGCGGUGAAAUGCUUAGAUAUGACAUAGAACACCAAUUGCGAAGGCAGCUUACUACGGAUAUAUUGACACUGAGGCUCGAAAGCGUGGGGAUCAAACAGGAUUAGAUACCCUGGUAGUCCACGCCCUAAACGAUGGAUACUCGACAUCAGCGAUACACUGUUGGUGUCUGAGCGAAAGCAUUAAGUAUCCCACCUGGGAAGUACGAUCGCAAGAUUG